UGCUGACGACUGCUCUGACUUUAUUGCACUACUGUACUGUACAGCUAGCAGUGCAAUAGUAUUGUCAAAGCAUCCGGGAGCAGG
rnacentral:pre_miRNA from 14 species